GAUGAACGCUGGCGGCGUGCCUAACACAUGCAAGUCGAACGGUAGCUUCUGGAUUCGUCUGGGGGUGAGAGUGGCGAACGGGUGAGUAACACGUAGGUGACCUGCCCCAAAGAGGGGAAUAACCGCUGGAAACGGUGGCUAAUACCCCAUGUGCUCGAUGGUUCGGUCUGUCGAGUAAAGUUCCGGCGCUUUGGGAGGGGCCUGCGGCCCAUCAGGUAGUUGGUAGGGUAAUGGCCUACCAAGCCGAUGACGGGUAGGGGCGUGAGAGCGUGAUCCCCCA
rnacentral:rRNA from 1 species